rnacentral:lncRNA from 1 species
CUUCCCGGCUGGUCUCAUUGGAACAACCAAGAGGACAGGGUCCUCCAAGAUUCCUAGAGGGAAUGCUAAGAAGGCUCCUGAGACUUUUGCCUUUCCCCAAGGAAUAAAAGAGGUCACAUGAUGACAGCUGUGCCCUUAACAUCCAGAUCCCAGGUGGGCUGGCUUUCCUUUGGACAUAUAUGUGUAUAUACAUGCUUGUUUAUGUGCAUUCAUAAAUAUCUUUGUUUAUGCACUUUGUGCAUGUGUUAAUAGAUAUGCAAAACAUUUUAUAUGGAAAUUUCUUCCUGAGAACUAACUUAUUUACAACACAAGUCUUAAAUGUAUAGCUCACUUUUAGAAAUGUACACACCUAUAUUACCAUCACCCAUGUCAAGAUCUAAAACAUUAUUAGCAUCCCAAGAAGCCUUCUUUUAUGUCCUCUCCUAAGCAUCCCCCUGUCCCAAAGUUAACCACUAUUCUGAUCUCUAUCAGUAUAGAUUUUGUUUAUUCUGGAGCCUUGUAUAAAUGGAAUCCUUCAGUAUGUACUCUUGGAUCUGCCUUUUUCAUGUAACAUUAUGUCUGUGAACUUGGCACCCAUGGUGUUGCAUACACCAGUAUUUAUUCUUUUUUAUCGCUAACUAGCUUUCCACUAUCUGAUUAUACCACAUUUUAUCUCUUCAUUCUACUAUAGAUGGGCUUUUGUUGUUUCUAGUUUUUCACUCCUGCAAAAUAAGAAUACAUUGGACAUUUUGUGGACACAAGCACUCAUUCUUUUGGUUUUAUCUCUAGGAGUGAAAUCGCUAGAGUGCAGGUUAUACCUUUAGUUAGUUUUAGUAGAUACUGCCCCCAAAUUUUCCAAAAUAGUUGUUCUAGUUUAUAUUUUUACCAACAGCAUACCAUUGCUUCACAUGUUUACUAAUUCUUGUGUCAUUUGUUCAUAGUAUCUCAUUGAGGUUUUUAAAAUUUCUUCUCCAAUAAGCAGUAAUGCUCAGUCAGCAACAUUUUAUAGGGCUAUUGCCUACAUGAAUAUUCUCUCAUGUGAAGUCCCUAUUCAGAUAUUUUUCCUAUUUUUUGUUACAUUAUGUACCUCUUUUUUCCCCAAGUUACAGUAAUUUUGUAUUUGUUAAGGAUAUAAAUCUUUUGCCAGAUAAAUAUCUUAUGAACUAUCUUCUCCCGGU